rnacentral:rRNA from 1 species
GAUGAACGCUAGCUACAGGCUUAACACAUGCAAGUCGCGGGGCAGCAUAUAGAUAGCUUGCUAUUUAUGAUGGCGACCGGCGCACGGGUGAGUAACGCGUAUCCAACCUUCCCCAUAGUAGGGUAUAGCCCGGCGAAAGUCGGAUUAAUCCCCUAUGUUGUUUGAAGCGGACAUCUAAUUCAAACCAAAGAUUUAUCGCUAUGGGAUGGGGAUGCGUCUGAUU